rnacentral:ncRNA from 1 species
AUAAUCGCUUUGAUUAGGACAAGUAAGCUUAUUCAUCUCAUAAAAGAGAGAUACUGGUUGCUGGAAAGUAUCAGAUGGUAAGUCGAACACACACCUAAGAGCUUGAUUUCUGAAUUUUAGUAGGUUAUCACGGUCGAACCCCGUUAACGUUGCAGUUUUUUAACUGUUUGAGGUGUUUAUCAUUAAACACAAACUUGAGGUGGGACCGCGUUUAUAACGCCCUCUUG